GGAUUAGGCAUGCAAGUCGCACGAGAAAGGCUUCUUCGGAAGCCGAGUAAAGUGGCGAACGGGUGAGUAAUGCAUAGACAACUCGCCCUUGAGAUGGGGACAACGCCUCGAAAGGGGUGCUAAUACCCAAUGCCGCCUUGGGCCUGCGGGUCCAGGGUGAAAGGAGGCCUCUGAUUCAAGCUUCCGCUCAAGGAGAGGUUUAUGUCCUAUUAGCUAGUUGGCGGGGUAACGGCCCACCAAGGCUGCGAUGGGUAGCCGACCUGAGAGGGUGACCGGCCACAUUGGGACUGAGACACUGCCCAGACUCCUACGGGAGGCUGCAGUCGAGAAUCUUCCGCAAUGCGCGCAAGCGUGACGGAGCGACGCCGCGUGGGUGAUGAAGGCCUUCGGGUUGUAAAACCCUGUCAGCUACUACGAAACACGGGCGAUGAACAAUCGUCCCGUCUGACUUAAGUAGCAGAGGAAGCACCGGCUAACUACGUGCCAGCAGCCGCGGUAAUACGUAGGGUGCGAACGUUGUUCGGAAUCACUGGGCAUAAAGGGCGCGUAGGCGGUCUGAUAAGUCAGGUGUGAAAUCCCUCGGCCUAACCGAGGAACUGCAUUUGAUACUGUCGGGCUAGAGUACAGGAGGGGAGAGUGGAAUUCCUGGUGGAGCGGUGAAAUGCGUAGAUAUCAGGAGGAACGCCGGCGGCGAAAGCGACUCUCUGGCCUGUUACUGACGCCGAGGCGCGAAAGCUAGGGGAGCAAACGGGAUUAGAUACCCCGGUAGUCCUAGCCCUAAACGAUGGGCACUAAGUAGAGGGGUUUU
rnacentral:rRNA from 1 species